rnacentral:rRNA from 2 species
UGGUUGUCGUCAGCUCGUGUCGUGAGAUGUUGGGUUAAGUCCCGCAACGAGCGCAACCCUUGAUCUUAGUUGCCAGCAUUCAGUUGGGCACUCUAAGGUGACUGCCGGUGACAAACCGGAGGAAGGUGGGGAUGACGUCAAAUCAUCAUGCCCCUUAUGACCUGGGCUACACACGUGCUACAAUGGACAGAACAAAGGGCUGCAAGACCGCAAGGUUUAGCCAAUCCCAUAAAUCUGUUCUCAGUUCGGAUCGCAGUCUGCAACUCGACUGCGUGAAGCUGGAAUCGCUAGUAAUCGCGGAUCAG